CUUGUCAUUUCAUGAAACAGACUGGUCUCAGACAGUAAUCACCUUUUCUAUGGAGGGGAAAAGAGCAAGUAUUUGCUGUUAAGAUAUAUAUGAAAACUGAUAUUCCUCUUUGCUUUAAAUUCCCAUGUGAAAAGUAUCUUGGGAAAAAUGAACCCCCUAUUUUAUUUAUCUAUUUUUACAGAAAAUGCAAAUAUUAAUUAUGGACAGUGAUCUUUAGCCUUUUGGACAGAUUUAAAUGCUGAGACAGCAAGAGCAGACUGAAAUCAGGAUUGAGAAAUAGAGCGAGAAAGCAGGGGGAAAUCAGAAAGGGGUCGCAAAGCGAGAUGGGGAAACUCAAAGUUACUGGGGAAUAGAAUUUCCCUAGCACUAGUCACAAUACGUAUGUUUGUUCAAAAGCAAGAGGCGGGGAAGACAUGCAUGCCUGAUGCUGAAGAAAAGCCUGUUUGUGUCUCACACACUGGAGAAAUUGUUCAAGAACAGUCCAUCGAUGUGAAAAUAUGACCCAUGUCAUCUUGCCAGGGUAGUUAAGACACUCAGUAGCUGAGUAAAGCCUGAUUGGAUAAAUUCACAAUCCUGGGGGUGUACAUACUUCCUAGUAUCCAGUUUUUCUAAGAUACAAAAAAAAAUGUCAGUGGAAAUAAGGUUACAGAGUGCCACAUGUGUGGGCGAGACAAGGUCUCCAUAGGGUGGGAACCAGGCAGAACUCAGACAUGGCUCAUUCUUUUAGUUUCUGCUCCAUUUUCUUAGUGGUCAAAAUGAGAAACAAAGGAUAAAUGCCCAGCACUAGCAAAAAAGAGGGAACUGUGAUAUUUAGAGAUGGGGAGGAGGGAAAGGUUACCGACUAGCAUCGAAAUGAAUUUCCCAUUCUCCUUUACUAUUGUCGUCUUUCACAAACUCCCAGUGUGUCUAGAGAUAAAACCCCAACAUUUACUGUAGGGGUGCGUUUUUCCAAGGAGAUCCAAGGAUGUGAACUCUGUCUAUGGAAAGUGAAUGUCCAAAGGUAUGCAGGAAACAUUGACUAUAGCAAAGGCUUGCAAAGGGGCAACAACAUGGUGGGUGCAAGUGAAACAGAAAAAAAUGAGCCCAUCUUGGAGAAACUUUCUUGCCCUCUGUCUGGUGAUUUCUGUAGGCUUUUGCCUGGAUUCAUCCUGAUGGUAAUAAUUUCAGGUUCAGAAAGCACUGUGGAAGAGGAGGCAUAAAGAGUGCAGUGCGAAGGCCAGAGGACGUGAAUACCCACAAGGCAUCAGUGGUUUUUGUACAUUGAGGACUUCUGUACGUAUGAAUUGUCAACAGCUAUGACAGCACACACAAGACCUGUGCAACUCAAGCCAGACAAAAUUUCAUCAUGCAGAAAAAGAUGCCUGUGUCACAGCUUCCACCAUAAUGCGAGAUGGCAGAUGAGAAGGAGCCUUCCAGUUCAGUUCCAGAUAAUUUCUCUAUAUCAUGCAAUGACGUUUUGUGGUGUCUUGAGCAGCAGCUCUUAUCAUUUACUUCUGCUACCAAGAAGAAUGCCAAGAGUCUGGGUUGGGGAUUUAGCUCAGUGGUAGAGCAGUUGCCUAGCAAGUGCAAGGCCCUGGGUUUGGUCCCCAGCUCCGAAAAAAAGAAAAAAAAAUGCCAAGAGUCUACAUUAUUUACAGUCUUCCAGUACUCCUGAUUAACAGUUCAUUAGAGGGGUACCCAUAUUGGACGCUAGAGUUUUAGUUUAAUAAACUAUGGUUUCAAGAAGAAAUUUUUCCAGUCAUAUAAAGCAGCUCCCUCCCAACUUAAAACAAAUUUUUUUACAUGAUUGGUGCUUGCCAUGGGGUUUCUCCAUGUCAUCAUCAUGUUGGUUAACCCUCCCAGAAUCUUUUCACCUUUCUCUCCUAUUUCCCCUACUUAAACUUCCUCCUACAGUGUCCAUUCUUUCUAUGUUCAAAUUACCUGAGAUCUCUUCACCCUCCUAAUGGCUGGUUCCUAGAUUUAUAAACUCCAUAGAGACUCUAAGCUGAACACACAAUAUUAAAAGCCACAUAAGAAGGACGACAUUUGAUACAAGUUUUUUUUUUUUUGUGCCUGCAAAACCUCACUCCAUACAAUGUUUUCAAGUUACAUUCAUUUUCCUAUAAACUUUAUGUUUCUUUAGAGCUCAAUAAAUUCCAUUGUUGAAUAACAUUCAUGCUGAGACUAUUUCUUAAUUAUUGUGGAUAUAGUACAAAUAAACAUGAAUAGGCAAAUGUCUUUGAGUGAGAUAGAGUGAUUCCCAGGAAGUGGAAUAGCUUGAACAUACAAAAUUCUAGUUUGACCUUUUGGGGAAGCUUCACACUGAUUUCCAUAAUAACUAUACCAUUUUUCACUCCAUCAGCAGAAACUAGGGGUUCACCUACCCCCACGUUCAUGUUCGCAUUUUUGUCAUUUGAGCUCUUGGCAGUGUGGACUUUAAAAAUACUUUUAUUGUCCAUUUAUAUUUCUUCGUUUUAGAACUAUUCAUAUCAGUAGCCCUUUUUGUAUUAAUUUUCUGUUUUAUUUUUAUGUUUGAGGGUGUUUUG
rnacentral:sRNA from 1 species